AGGGGGAGGCGGGAUCCUGGGCUGUGUCCUGGCGCCUUGUGCUCCGGGGUCUGCGCUGGUGGAUUCGCUCCCUGCCCGCAGCCCCCU
rnacentral:pre_miRNA from 1 species